UCAAGUGACUAAGUGCAUGUGGCGGAUGCCUUGGCGAUCACAGGCGAAGAAAGACGCGGCAGCCUGCGAAAAGCUGCGGGGAGCUGGCAAACGAGCUUUGAUCCGCAGAUAUCUGAAUGGGGGAACCCACACCGCAAGGUGUAUCCGUAGCUCAAUACAUAGGUUACGGAGGCGAACGAGGAGAACUGAAACAUCUAAGUAUCCUCAGGAAAAGAAAUCAACCGAGAUUCCGGCAGUAGCGGCGAGCGAACCCGGAGGAGCCCAGCUUUUGAUAGUACGAACUUUAGCCGAAAGGUCCUGGAAAGGCCUGCUAUAGUGGGUGAUAGCCCCGUAGGCGAAAGAGUUGGUACGGUACUAAGGAAGCGAGAAGUAGAGCGGGACACGUGGAAUCCUGUUCGAAGACGGGGGGACCAUCCUCCAAGGCUAAAUACUCGUGAUCGACCGAUAGUGAACCAGUACCGUGAGGGAAAGGCGAAAAGAACCCCGGGAGGGGAGUGAAAUAGAACCUGAAACCGCAUGCAUACAAACAGUAGGAGCCUCGUCAGAGGUGACUGCGUACCUUUUGCAUAAUGGGUCAGCGACUUACAUUCUGUGGCGAGCUUAACCGAAUAGGGGAGGCGCAGCGAAAGCGAGUUCGAAAUGAGCGUUCAGUCGCAGGGUGUAGACCCGAAACCAGAUGAGCUAUCCAUGGCCAGGUUGAAGGUGUGGUAACACACACUGGAGGACCGAACCGACUAGUGUUGCAAAAUUAGCGGAUGAGCUGUGGAUAGGGGUGAAAGGCCAAACAAAUCUGGAGAUAGCUGGUUCUCCCCGAAAACUAUUGAGGUAGUGCCUCGUGUGUCGCUCCAGGGGGUAGAGCACUGUUUUGGCUAGGGGGACAUGGAGUCUUACCAAACCAAGGCAAACUCCGAAUACCUGGAAGCGUAAGCACGGGAGACAGAGCACCGGGUGCUAACGUCCGGACUCAAAAGGGAAACAACCCAGACCGCCGGCUAAGGUCCCAAAUAACAGCUAAGUGGAAAACGAAGUGGAAAGGCCGUGACAACCAGGAAGUUGGCUUAGAAGCAGCCAUCCUUCAAAGAAAGCGUAAUAGCUCACUGGUCGAGUCCUUCUGCGCGGAAGAUGUAACGGGGCUAAGCUGUUAACCGAAGCCGCGGAUGCGCUGGUUAUCCAGUGCGUGGUAGGGGAGCGUUCUGUAAGUCUGCGAAGGCGGUUCGAGAGGACUGCUGGAGAUAUCAGAAGUGCGAAUGCUGACAUGAGUAACGUUAAAGCAGGUGAAAAGCCUGCUCGCCGUAAGCCCAAGGAUUCCUGCUCUACGUUCAUCGGAGCAGGGUGAGUCGGCUCCUAAGGUCAGGCCGAAAGGCGUAGCCGAUGGGAAUCAGGUUAAUAUUCCUGAACCUGCGUCAGAUGCGAUGGGGGGACGGAGCAUGGAAGAUCAUCCGGGUGUUGGAAGUCCCGGUUGUUUAGCGUAGGAGGUCUGCAGGCAAAUCCGCAGACGCAUCUCCAAGGCAAAGACACGUGCCGCCACGGCGGCGAAGUGAUCGGAAGUGCUUCCAAGAAAAGCCUCUAAGCCCCAGUCUGAUGCGGACCGUACCGCAAACCGACACUGGUGGGCGAGCUGAAUAUGCUCAGGCGCUUGAGAGAACUCGGGAGAAGGAACUCGGCAAAUUGACACCGUAACUUCGGAAGAAGGUGUGCCGUAGUACCGUGAGAGGAGAGACACCUUGAGCGGGAAACGGUCUCAGAGAAUAGGUGGCUGCGACUGUUUAUUAAAAACACAGCACUCUGCAAAGUCGAAAGACGACGUAUAGGGUGUGAUGCCUGCCCGGUGCUGGAAGAUUAAUUGAUGGGGUGAGAGCCCUUGAUCGAAGUCCCAGUAAACGGCGGCCGUAACUAUAACGGUCCUAAGGUAGCGAAAUUCCUUGUCGGGUAAGUUCCGACCUGCACGAAUGGCAUAACGAUGGCCACACUGUCUCCUCCCGAGACUCAGUGAAGUUGAAAUGUUUGUGAUGAUGCAAUCUACCCGCGGCUAGACGGAAAGACCCCAUGAACCUUUACUGCAGCUUUGCAUUGAACUGUGAACCGAUUUGUGUAGGAUAGGUGGGAGGCAGAGAAGAGGCCACGCCAGUGGUCUUGGAGCCGACCUUGAAAUACCACCCUGAUUUGUUUGCGGUUCUAACCACGGACAGUGAUCCUGUCUUGGGACCGUGCAUGGUAGGCAGUUUGACUGGGGCGGUCUCCUCCUAAAGGGUAACGGAGGAGUACGAAGGUACGCUAGGUACGGUCGGAAAUCGUGCUGAUAGUGCAAUGGCAAAAGCGUGCUUGACUGCGAGAGCAACAACUCGAGCAGAUGCGAAAGCAGGUCAUAGUGAUCCGGUGGCUCUGAAUGGAAGGGCCAUCGCUCAACGGAUAAAAGGUACUCUGGGGAUAACAGGCUGAUACCGCCCAAGAGUUCAUAUCGACGGCGGUGUUUGGCACCUCGAUGUCGGCUCAUCUCAUCCUGGGGCUGUAGUCGGUCCCAAGGGUAUGGCUGUUCGCCAUUUAAAGAGGUACGUGAGCUGGGUUUAAAACGUCGUGAGACAGUUUGGUCCCUAUCUGCCGUGGGCGUUGGAAGAUUGACGGGGGCUGCUCCUAGUACGAGAGGACCGGAGUGGACGCACCUCUGGUGUACCGGUUGUCACGCCAGUGGCAUUGCCGGGUAGCUAAGUGCGGAAGAGAUAACCGCUGAAAGCAUCUAAGCGGGAAACUUGCCUGAAGAUGAGUCUUCCCGGAGGUUGAACCUCCCUCAAGAGUCGUCCGAGACCAGGACGUCGAUAGGUCAGGUGUGUAAGCGCUGUAAGGCGUUGAGCUAACUGAUACUAAUUGCUCGUGAGGCUUGAUCCU
rnacentral:rRNA from 1 species